rnacentral:rRNA from 1 species
GCGUGCAAAUAAUACAAGUCNAGCGAUGGAUAAGAGCUUGCUCUUAUGAACUUAGCGGCGGACGGGUGAGUAACACGUGGGUAACCUGCCCAUAAGACUGGGAUAACUCCGGGAAACCGGGGCUAAUACCGGAUAACAUUUUGAACCGCAUGGUUCGAAAUUGA